UGUCUUAUUUGUCGCGAAUAAUUCGUUUCAUUUUAUUAUGGAAAUUUAUCCGUCCCAACACUUGCAGAAAUAUAGUUAAUCUGACUUCAAAAUUCCUUCCUCUGUUCCCCCAAGUACAUGUAACACUCUUCGCUCUCAUUUUUUUUUUUAAUUUUCAUUGUAUAUUUUUUGUAGAAAAAAGGAAUGUGGAGCUAAUGCAUGCUGCUAAGGAUGGAAAGGUCUUGUGUUUAUUGGUGGUGCCUGAGACACCAGUCACAGUUGUACCUUAUUUCCAUUUUAGGGAGUCUAUAUACAUAUGAGGUGAGCGGCAGAUUUAAUUUUGAAGAUGGGUGACUUUCAGAUGUUGUGAUGAAGAUUGUUGAAAGGGAUUAUCAACAUAGAACCAAUCCAUAUGAAUGUGCAAGUCAGGUGAGGAUUGGACUUCAACGUGUAAUCAAGAAAUGUUUAUACAUAAUGAUUAUGUGCAAUGGUGACUGCAAGAAAAAAGGAAUGUGGAGCUAAUGCAUGCUGCUAAGGAUGGAAAGGUCUUGUGUUUAUUGGUUGUGCCUGAGACACCAGUCACAGUUGUACCUUAUUUCCAUUUUAGGGAGUCUAUAUACAUAUGAGGUGAACGGCAGAUUUAAUUUUGAAGAUGGGUGACUUUCAGAUGUUGUGAUGAAGAUUGUUGAAAGGGAUUAUCAGCAUAGAACCAAUCCAUAUGAAUGUGCAAGUCAGGACUUGUACAACACCUGAGUACCUAGAUGACUGUUGAACUAAUUGGUGAACAAGAAAAGAUGUCAGAGAGGGGAAUCCAAUACAGAUGCCAUGAUCAAGAAUAUAUACUCUUAACAAUGAUAUGAUCAAGAAUAUGUAAACUUGUAACGAUUUAAAAUAUCUUAUCUGUAAAUCACUCUUCAUUACUUAAUUGUUCACACAUUAUCAUCUACACUUGUGCUAUAAAUCUUAUCUGUAUAUUAAUCGCCCCCUCUUAUCUAACCCCCCUACUGAUCGUAAUGACCUGUGUAUUGACUCCUGAUUUUAAGGAUCUGGAAAUGUGCUCCUGAUCGUCAGGAACGGAUCUUGAGUAUAUAUAUAGUGCGACAGAAUUUUAGAAUAAGAUAGGAAGAUGGAAAUAUAGAAGACUUAGUAGAUAGAACUGUUAGAUAUAGAUAAAGUUACUCACUUACUUGGACUAUUACAUAAUAUUUCUUGAAUUUAUAUGUACAUGUGAUUGUUAGGGCCCCGCAAGGAUUUGCGGGUGCCCUAUAGUAAUCACUCUGUCUGUCUGUCUGUCCGUCUGUCUGUCCGUCUGUCAUUCUUCCGUCCACAAAUUUUCUGUUUUUUCCUAAUAACUUUUUUAUGGUAGCCAAAUUAAGUUCAAAUUUGGUAUGGUAGUUCAGUAGGCAAAAAGACAUAUUUUGAUGCUAUGUUUGUUUCUCUAUGCCCUCUGGUUUGGAGCAGGGGUGGUGGGGUAGAUUCCUUAACUUUAUACAAGAAUGAAUUGGGAAAGAGAGAUAACUUCUGAAAAUGUUGUAAACUGAAUACUGCAAUGAAUGAGCCCCUUGGGAUUAAUUAGCUUUCCUCCUGAAGAAAAUCCAAAGCAUUAUCUUUAUCUGUCACAUUGAGAUUAAUUACCACCUCUGUCUGCAAAUGAAGUUUGUUUUGAAGUUAAGUCCAUUUGGAAUGCUAUGAACACCAUGAAAUGUGGAUUGAAGUAUAAAUGUUUUUACUUUAUUUUUGUUGAAAUAGCCUACACGAUGAGUUCUAAUUUCAUUGACUUCUAAAAAGAAGAAAUAGA